rnacentral:rRNA from 1 species
UACGUAGGGACCGAGCGUUGUCCGGAUUCAUUGGGCGUAAAGAGCUCGUAGGCGGCUGUUCAAGUCGAACGUGAAAACUCGGAGCUCAACUCCGAGCCUGCGUUCGAUACUGGAUGGCUAGAGUCUGGUAGGGGGAUCUGGAAUUCCUGGUGUAGCGGUGGAAUGCGCAGAUAUCAGGAGGAACACCAAUAGCGAAGGCAGCUCGCUGGGACGUUACUGACACUGAGGCGCGAAAGCGUGGGGAGCGAACAGG